rnacentral:lncRNA from 1 species
AUCAUGUCUAUGGAAGCCCAUAUUUGAAGUGCUAUUAUCUAUUUGCCUUAGUUUUAUUAUAAAAUUGGACAGGACGACAAGAGGAGUAGACAGACAAUAGCAAACUGCUGUCAUAUUUAAACAUGGAGAAUUGAUUCUUCAUUCGCGUGCUUGUCAGCAUAUACACAUCAUUGGGGCCAUUCUAGUGACUGUCUUCAUCUCGUCCACUCGAUUGUAAUCUUGUUAGGACACAUAUGACAUGUUUUGUUGCUUUCUUUAACUAUGAACCUUGUAUUUAAAGUUACAUUCAUGGCCAUUACAUUCCUACAAGUCCCAUCUUUUGCCCCCACAAAACUUCAGCUGCCUUUUUUACACGAUUACAUGAUGUUAUACGGAUAGAUUGAUACUAUAACCUCAAUAAAUUUUCUUAAAUGAUUGGGUCUUUUUAUG